rnacentral:rRNA from 1 species
UACGUAGGGGGCUAGCGUUGUCCGGAAUCAUUGGGCGUAAAGAGCGCGUAGGCGGCUAGAUAAGUCCGGUGUGAAAGUCACAGGCUCAACCUGUGAAUGCCGCUGGAAACUGUCUGGCUAGAGUCCGGAAGGGGCGAGUGGAAUUCCUGGUGUAGCGGUGAAAUGCGCAGAUAUCAGGAGGAACACCGGUGGCGAAGGCGGGUCUCUGGGCCGAUACUGACGCUGAGGAGCGAAAGCGUGGGGAGCGAACAGG